ACUGCACUCACUUCCAGCUCAGUCUUUUCAUUCCCACAUGGGGUGGCAGCUGAGAGUUUAGCAGUCCAUGUGUGGAUGAGGCCAUGGUGACAACAAUUUCAACCUUCCUUUGAACCUUCUAAUUAACUGCUACAAUGUAUUUUUUAACCACUAUAAACAACUAUAUGUUGAUGAUGAAGAUGAUGAAGGGACAAAUUGAGAUAAGACUGCAUGCUCACACUCGGUCUGCUCGUGGAUGAGGGUUGCAUAAUUACACAGUACCAUGCCACCCAUGUAUGGACCUUUGUGGGCUUGAACCCACUCACCAGGAGCUCAGGAUCACCCUGGAAUUGCUAUUACCAAGUGUUUGACCAUGAUUACCAGGGGCUGCCGGGCUGCUGCCAUCCCCUUGAUGUCAUUUUGAAUUUCUUCUGACUCCACUAAUGAUGCUAAUUUCUGGGUUCUUAUCUUUACUGUUUUUAAAUUGGCUCUUAAACCUUCAUUGCAAUAGAACAGUGGAGAGAAGACGGAAACACAAGGAGAAACUAAAUGGCCUUAGGGCGGAGUCAAACCUGGGCCUUAUGCCACAUGGCCGUUUGCUCAACCCAGUGAUAAGCUAUACUGGCUCAGAAAAGCCUUAUGGCAUGUUCAAGAUACCUCAGAACUCUGGUGUUAGAACUCGAAUUAGCGCAUAUCAGAAAAAGAACAUUUGGUGAAUCAAAAAUACACAACAGUGGCGGUACAGAUUAAAACUUUACAGUACUGUUUAUUUUCAAUGCUGCCAUCUUGGAUUGCUAACUCGGUAUGUUGGUGUAGUCCAACUUUCUGAGUGGAAAAUCUGAGUUGAGGUGGUGUUCCACAAAGAAUUUCUGACUUCUCACUUAUUUAUGAAUACAUUAUUAUUUAUCAUAUACUGGAUAUAACACCUCAGAGUUCAACUGAAUCAAGUCCCUUUCUGACUGGUUGUCCUUUGAAAACAUUCGGUUGUAGCAGCAUUUGGGUGGUGCUUCUGUGCACACAGCCACUGUGUGCUUGAAAUCACCAUAUUAAGGACAACUGUCCCUUUUGAAGUCAUACUGAUCAAGGAGUAUAAAAGCUGUGGGGUCAAGCAUUAAAACUGAGGUUUAACGUACAGGAAUUAUUUUCACGUAUAUGACGUCGUUUUUUAUAAACUUGGAAAGGGAUUAAAUGAGAAUCUGUCAUUGCCACAGUAUAUGUAUAUGACAGUAUGUAUGGAUAUGACCUUAAAACAUGAUUUCUGAUUACACUACUGUUACACAAACACACACAAGCUUGUUGCUCAAAAACUUCAUAUUUUACGCCAUGGUUUUUUUUACCAUAGCAACCAGCUCCAGGGCAUAUCCCACACACAUUCACCAGUGGUGCAGAGC